rnacentral:rRNA from 1 species
GAGUUUGAUCCUGGCUCAGGACGAACGCUGGCGGCGUGCCUAAUACAUGCAAGUAGAACGCUGAAGGAGGAGCUUGCUUCUCUGGAUGAGUUGCGAACGGGUGAGUAACGCGUAGGUAACCUGCCUGGUAGCGGGGGAUAACUAUUGGAAACGAUAGCUAAUACCGCAUAAGAGUAGAUGUUGCAUGACAUUUGCUUAAAAGGUGCACUUGCAUCACUACCAGAUGGACCUGCGUUGUAUUAGCUAGUUGGUGGGGUAACGGCUCACCAAGGCGACGAUACAUAGCCGACCUGAGAGGGUGAUCGGCCACACUGGGACUGAGACACGGCCCAGACUCCUACGGGAGGCAGCAGUAGGGAAUCUUCGGCAAUGGACGGAAGUCUGACCGAGCAACGCCGCGUGAGUGAAGAAGGUUUUCGGAUCGUAAAGCUCUGUUGUAAGAGAAGAACGAGUGUGAGAGUGGAAAGUUCACACUGUGACGGUAUCUUACCAGAAAGGGACGGCUAACUACGUGCCAGCAGCCGCGGUAAUACGUAGGUCCCGAGCGUUGUCCGGAUUUAUUGGGCGUAAAGCGAGCGCAGGCGGUUAGAUAAGUCUGAAGUUAAAGGCUGUGGCUUAACCAUAGUAGGCUUUGGAAACUGUUUAACUUGAGUGCAAGAGGGGAGAGUGGAAUUCCAUGUGUAGCGGUGAAAUGCGUAGAUAUAUGGAGGAACACCGGUGGCGAAAGCGGCUCUCUGGCUUGUAACUGACGCUGAGGCUCGAAAGCGUGGGGAGCAAAC